ensembl:snRNA U1 U1 spliceosomal RNA
GUUCUUACCUGGCAGGGGAGAUGCCAUGAUCACAAAGGUGGUAUUCCCAGGUCAAAGCUUAUCCAAUGCAUUCCAGAUGUGCUGACCCCUGUGAUUUCCCCAAAUGUGGGAAACUUGAUUGUAUAAUUUGUGGUAGUGAGGGACUGCAUUCUCAUCCCUCC